rnacentral:lncRNA from 1 species
UGGAGUAGGUAAUUAUUACGUUUCUAAUAUAAAUUGUUAGAAUAUGCUAUGAUUUCGUACGUGUAGUUCAAAAUUUUUUCUAAAUAUUUACGCAGUGAAAAUAAAUAAAUUAAAAUAAUUUUAAUUUAUUCACGUAUCAGAUCAAAUCUGAAAAUCGUAGUAAAGAUCUUGAUACAAAUAUGUAUCCAUGAUCUGAUAUCUGAAACAGAAAAACAAACUGUUAGAAAAAUAAAAUGGAGAUCAAAUAUCCAUACCUC